AUUGAACGCUGGCGGCAGGCCUAACACAUGCAAGUCGAGCGAGCGGCGGACGGGUGAGUAAUGUCUGGGAAACUGCCCGAUAGAGGGGGAUAACUACUGGAAACGGUAGCUAAUACCGCAUACCAUCGGAUGUGCCCAUAUGGGAUUAGCUAGUAGGUGGGGUAACGGCUCACCUAGGCGACGAUCCCUAGCUGGUCUGAGAGGAUGACCAGCCACACGGGAACUGAGACCCGGUCCAGACUCCUACGGGAGGCAGCAGUGGGGAAGAUUGCACAAUGGGCGCAAGCCUGAUAUAGCCAUGCCGCGUGUGUGAAGAAGGCCUUAGGGUUGUAAAGCACUUUCAGCGGGGAGGCGUUACCCGCAGAAGAAGCACCGGCUAACUCCGUGCCAGCAGCCGCGGUAAUAC
rnacentral:rRNA from 1 species